CCGGCGCACGGGUGAGUAACACGUAUGCAACCUGCCUGCCACAGCCGGAUAAUCGGGAGAAAUUCCGUCUAAUACGGCAUAAUGCAUCGACGGGACAUCCUGUUGGUGCCAAAGGUUGAUUCCGGCGGGGGAUGGGCAUGCGGCGCAUUAGCUAGUCGGCGGGGUAACGGCCCACCGAGGCGACGAUGCGUAGGGGUUCUGAGAGGAAGGUCCCCCACACUGGUACUGAGACACGGACCAGACUCCUACGGAAGGCAGCAG
rnacentral:rRNA from 1 species